rnacentral:rRNA from 1 species
CAGUCAUUGGGUUAGAUCUGCUCUCUUCGCAAGAAGAGGGUUUCCAUACACACCGUGAACUGUGGCUUCGGCCAUCACAAACUGUUAGUAAUGAAUGUAAUAUCAUAACAAAAACAAAACUUUUAACAACGGAUCUCUUGGCUCUCGCAUCGAUGAAGAACGCAGCGAAAUGCGAUAAGUAAUGUGAAUUGCAGAAUUCAGUGAAUCAUCGAAUCUUUGAACGCACCUUGCGCCCUUUGGUAUUCCGAAGGGCAUGCCUGUUUGAGUGUCAUGAAACCUCACCCCACUUAGGUUUUUGCCUAAGCGGUGGUGUAUUGGGUGUUGCCUUGCUAAAGGCUCGCCUUAAAGACAUAAGCACCUUGGAUGUAAUACGUUUCAUCCUUCUGGGUGGCUAAUAACCCCACAUAUUCAUGAUCUGGCCUCAAAUCAGGUAGGGCUACCCGCUGAACUUAAGCAUAUCAAUAAGCGGAGGAAAAGAAACUAACUAGGAUUCCCUUAGUAACGGCGAGUGAACCGGGAUGAGCUCAAAUUUAAAAUCUGGCGUCUUUCAGGCGUCCGAGUUGUAAUCUAUAGAGGCGUUUUCCGCGCCGGACCGCGUCCAAGUCACUUGGAAUAGAGUAUCAAAGAGGGUGACAAUCCCGUACUUGACGCGACAACCGGUGCUCUGUGAUACGUUCUCAAUGAGUCGAGUUGUUUGGGAAUGCAGCUCUAAAUGGGUGGUAAAUUCCAUCUAAGGCUAAAUAUUGGCGAGAGACCGAUAGCGAACAAGUACCGUGAGGGAAAGAUGAAAAGCACUUUGGAAAGAGAGUUAAACAGCACGUGAAAUUGUUAAAAGGGAAACGAUUGAAGUCAGUCGUGUGAAAGGUAUUCAGCCGUCUCUGGCGGUGUA